UACGUAGGGCGCAAGCGUUGUCCGGAAUUAUUGGGCGUAAAGAGCUCGUAGGCGGCUUGUCACGUCGGAUGUGAAAGCCCCGGGGCUUAACCCCGGGUCUGCAUUCGAUACGGGCUAGCUAGAGUGUGGUGGGGGAGAUCGGAAUUCCUGGUGUAGCGGUGAAAUGCGCAGAUAUCUGGAGGAAUACCGGUGGCGAAGGCGGCAUCCUGGACCAUAACUGACGCUGAGGCGCGAAAGCUAGGGGAGCAAACGGGG
rnacentral:rRNA from 1 species